UACAGAGGUCUCAAGCGUUGUUCGGAUUCAUUGGGCGUAAAGGGUGCGUAGGUGGCGCGCUAAGUCAGGUGUGAAAUUUCGGAGCUUAACUCCGAAACUGCAUUUGAUACUGGCGUGCUUGAGGACUGGAGAGGAGACUGGAAUUCACGGUGUAGCAGUGAAAUGCGUAGAUAUCGUGAGGAAGACCAGUGGCGAAGGCGGGUCUCUGGACAGUUCCUGACACUGAGGCACGAAGGCGUGGGGAGCGAACGGG
rnacentral:rRNA from 1 species